rnacentral:rRNA from 1 species
UAGGGAAUCUUCGGCAAUGGGGGCAACCCUGACCGAGCAACGCCGCGUGAGUGAAGAAGGUUUUCGGAUCGUAAAGCUCUGUUGUAAGAGAAGAACGUGUGUGAGAGUGGAAAGUUCACACAGUGACGGUAACUUACCAGAAAGGGACGGCUAACUACGUGCCAGCAGCCGCGGUAAUACGUAGGUCCCGAGCGUUGUCCGGAUUUAUUGGGCGUAAAGCGAGCGCAGGCGGUUUAAUAAGUCUGAAGUUAAAGGCAAUGGCUUAACCAUUGUUCGCUUUGGAAACUGUUAAACUUGAGUGCAGAAGGGGAGAGUGGAAUUCCAUGUGUAGCGGUGAAAUGCGUAGAUAUAUGGAGGAACACCGGUGGCGAAAGCGGCUCUCUGGUCUGUAACUGACGCUGAGGCUCGAAAGCGUGGGGAGCAAACAGG